GAAAAGAAGGGUAGGCGCCUCUGC
rnacentral:piRNA from 1 species